CACGUAGGGCGCAAGCGUUGUCCGGAAUUACUGGGCGUAAAGCGUGCGCAGGCGGUUUUGUAAGUUUGUCGUGAAAGCCCCGGGCUCAACCUGGGAAUUGCGAUGAAGACUGCAAGGCUUGAAUCUGGCAGAGGGGGGUAGAAUUCCACGUGUAGCAGUGAAAUGCGUAGAGAUGUGGAGGAACACCGAUGGCGAAGGCAGCCCCCUGGGUCAAGAUUGACGCUCAUGCACGAAAGCGUGGGGAGCAAACAGG
rnacentral:rRNA from 1 species